rnacentral:rRNA from 1 species
CCCUUAGAUGUUCUGGGCCGCACGCGCGCUACACUGGUGCUGACAGCGAGUGCCAAGCUUGAGAGAGCGAGGCGAUCUGCAAACGGCGCCGUGAUUGGGAUUGAGCCUUGCAAUUAUUGCUCAUGAACGAGGAAUUCCUAGUAAGCGCGAGUCAUCAGCUCGCGCUGAUUACGUCCCUGCCCUUUGUACACACCGCCCGUCGAUACUACCGAUUGAAUGGCUUAGUGAGGCCGUUGGAGAAUGCUCGCUAGAGCGUUUGAAAUUGGCCAAACUUGGUGAUUUAGAGGAAGUAAAAGUCGUAACA